GUUUUAGAAUAGAUAAGUGAGAUUUGGCUAAAAAAAUGAUUAGAAAGUUUUUCAUAACUGAUUACUGAUGCUUAUUUCCACAGAGUAUUUGUAAGCAAAUUCCAGAACAGGAUGUUGGCUAUUUAUCAAUAGCUAAACAUCAAAGUGGAGAAAAAAUGGUGACAUCUCGGGAAAAAGCGUUUUCGAAGGAAUGCCCUCAAUCAAAGCCCACCAUUGUAGAGGAAGAGUCUGUUUCAAAGGAGGCCUGGGAUAUGACUCCGGUGAAAUCAUUUUUAGAAGAUACUUCUAACGACUAUCCUCUAUCAAAGCCUACAGUUGAGAAAAAUGACUAUGUUCCAAAUGAAGUCUCUGAUAUAAAGCAUGGGAAAUGGUUCCAAGAAAACUGUCCUAAGGAAUAUGUUCAAUUGAAGCUUCCCAUUGAAGAGAGAGAUUCUUUUCCAAGAGAAGCACCACCAGUUGAUCAGGCAAAAUUACACCGUGCAGAUGAGCCUACAUCUGUAAAGAAUCCUAGCAGAAUUACAAGAUGUGUAAGACAAAAUGCAGCAGCAUCUGUAAAAGUGACGUCAGUGGAAGAUCAAAAAUGCCCCGAUGACCAUGAGAAGGAUCAGAGAGUGGCUGCGUUCAAACGACCUCAAACAAAGGACACUGAAUAUUUAUCCAUGGCUAAUUAUGAAAGUAGAGAAAAUUUUGCCGAAGACCAAGAGGAAGAUCCCCCAGAACAACAACCUCAGUGGAAGCCUGCACUUGAAGAUGCUUCCCCAAACAAGGCAUCAGCAGCGAAGCCUGUGGAACCCUUGCUCACAGCAGAACCAAUUACAAACAUAUCAGAAGGAAAACAAGAAUGGUGUGAUAGCAGAAAUACGCAAAGACAGGUACAUGCAUAUUUGAAUUAAAACCUUUAAAGAGCAUUUUCUUUGGUAAACAAUGUACCAGGAAUCAUAUGAAAGUACCAUUCUCCUUGUCCUGGAGAACCAGUGGAUUAUUAUUUAAUUUUCAGUUUUAACACUCUCCUAAGUACUUAAGGAGACUGGUAUAAGUUAAGUUAAAGUAUACUUUUAGAUUCUUAAAAUGUUUUUUUUAUGAUUUUUUUAUAUUAAAAUAGUUAUACCAUACUUGAGACUUAUUAUUAA
rnacentral:lncRNA from 1 species